rnacentral:rRNA from 1 species
GGACCCGCACAAGCGGUGGAGCAUGUGGUUUAAUUCGAUGCAACGCGAAAAACCUUACCUACUCUUGACAUACUUGGGAGCUCUUGUAAUGAGAGUGUGCCUUUUGGAACCAAGAUACAGGUGCUGCAUGGCUGUCGUCAGCUCGUGUCGUGAGAUGUUCCGUUAAGUCGGAUAACGAGCGCAACCCUUACCCUUAUUUGCCAGCGAUUCGGUCGGGAACUAUAAGGGGACUGCCGGUGAUAAACCGGAGGAAGGUGAGGACGACGUCAAGUCAUCAUGGCCCUUACGAGUAGGGCUACACACGUGCUACAAUGGGGAAUACAGACGGACGCUAAGCCGCGAGGUGGUGCUAAUCCUAGAAAGUUUCUCGUAGUCCGGAUUGGAGUCUGCAACUCGACUCCAUGAAGCUGGAAUU